UACGACUACAUAUCAGGCAUAUCAAUAAGCGGAGGAAAAGAAACUAACUAGGAUUCCCUUAGUAACGGCGAGUGAAGCGGGAAGAGCUCAAAUUUGAAAUCUUCAAGGUUUACCUUGACGAAUUGUAGUUUAAAGAAGUGUUUUCUGUUGGAAGUUUUGGUAAAAGUUCUUUGGAAUAGGACAUCAUAGAGGGUGAGAAUCCCGUAUUUGACCAUUAUUUCAGCUUUGUGAUACACUUUCAAAGAGUCGGAUUGUUUGGGAAUGCAGUCCAAAAUGGGUGGUAAAUUUCAUCUAAAGCUAAAUAUUGGCGAGAGACCGAUAGCGAACAAGUACCGUGAGGGAAAGAUGAAAAGAACUUUGAAAAGAGAGUUAAACAGUACGUGAAAUUGUCAAAAGGGAAGCGUUUGACACCAGUGUUGUUUUCUCGAAAAUCAAUUAAAAAAAGUUGGAUUUUGUGUUGUAUUGACCUUAACAGCUUGCUUCACUCUUUCCAGCUUUUUUUAAUGCACUUUUCGUUUAACAAGUCAACAUCAGUUUCUUUUGUUGUAAAAGGGUCAUUGGAAGGUGGCUUUCUCUUCGGAGAAAGUGUUUAUAGCCUUUGAUCUCUGCAAUCGGAGAGACUGAGGUCUGCAGCGUAGAUCCUUCGGGGUUAGAUACAUUUGUGCUAAGCUAUCAGCCUUUCAUAGACAACUUGUUGACUAUGAUUAGUCAUUGUAGCUUACUCGCUUAUGCUAUUUUACCUACGCUUAGGAUGUUGAGCGCAUGUCUCUCUCU
rnacentral:rRNA from 1 species